rnacentral:rRNA from 1 species
GCCUACGGGGGGCAGCAGUAGGGAAUUUUCGUCAAUGGGCGCAAGCCUGAACGAGCAAUGCCGCGUGAACGAGGAAGGUCUUCGGAUCGUAAAGUUCUGUUGAAGGGGAAAAAGAGCGGAGAGAGGAAAUGGUCUCCGAUUGAUAUUACCCUUCGAGGAAGUCACGGCUAACUACGUGCCAGCAGCCGCGGUAAUACGUAGGUGGCGAGCGUUAUCCGGAAUGAUUGGGCGUAAAGGGUGCGUAGGUGGCCUGCUAAGUCUGGAGUGAAAGGUACCGGCUCAACCGGUACAGGCUCUGGAAACUG